GCGAAGCUGCGUAAGGGAUGGUAGUGGAAAUCCUUUUUGUCUUUUUGAAAUCGUCUUUCGUAAAUUUAGUGUGGGAAGACAAAAAGAUUGUAGCGGACAGCCCGACCCGAG
rnacentral:sRNA from 1 species